CUGGCACUUGGGCUGGUUUGUCCCUGCCAGGCUUUGUUUCUGGGCUCUGCAGGAUUAUAUGGAAGUAGAACAAGUGCUGCAUGUACCUGAGACAGCCCUUACACGUGAAGUCUGGCGCGGGAGAGAGCAACGUUCUGCUUGGCAAAGCAAAUGAAAAAACGGUGGGGAGAAUGUAGAGGGCAGGACAACCGCUUUCCUGUCCAGAAUCUUCAAAGUACCUGGCUGCAAGAGGAGCAGGGUCAGGGGCGUAUCAGUGCCACCUGCCCACCAGCAAGUGGACAGCCUUGACUUUCUCCUCCAUCAUCCCAGCUCUGUGGACCCCAAACAAGUUUCCUGUUCACAGCAUUCCUGGCAUCAUCUCAGGAAGAAUGUAGGAUUGAAAAUUCGGGCAGAUCAGUGAUGAAGGUGCUGUAGCUCCUGUUCCCUUCAGAUGUGAAGGAUUAUCAGAUUGCAUGUCCAGCGAUUCUGCCCUGCACUACAAAUGUUCAUGCACAAAAUCUUAACGUAUUUCUGAUUAGGAAAGUUACAUAUCACUGUUAUCUAAUCCUUCAAAUGAAAUAGCUUCAGCUAAAAUGUGUUCCUUAACGCCAGGCAACAGGAUGGUCUGAGCAUAAAUGAAAUUAGAAAGUCUCCUACUGCAUCAGUGCAAAAGUGCCUACUAUGCAUCAUGGAUCGAGUGCUCUGAAAUAUCAUCCCAAGAAUGAAUGAGCUGAAGUCACUGAGCCAAAUUCAUUCUGGGGACAGAGUCACAUUAGGCUAUUCUCAUUCCGAAUGUAGCUGUGAAUUUGGCCUGAACCAAAAUCCCUAUAAAUCAGAAGGAACAGAAAGGACAGAUGCUGUGUCUUGAAAGAUCCACUCCUCUGGAAAGUGCAGCUCCCUCUCUUGCCUCUUCAUCCCAAGGAAGCAGAUGGUUUCUCACUCACCCAGCUAUGAUGAAAGCACAACGUGUAAAAAUAAAAGCAGAGGGCUGGAUUCCUUCCUUGGCUGAGCUGCAUGUGGUGCCACGAACCCUGGUGGGAGCGCAGAAAAUGGAGAUGAGUGUGAAGCACAACCCAGAGAUCUACCAGAGAAUUUGUAUAACUUUUACUCCUGGAAGAGUGAGGGAGUGUGCAUGUGCUCAAAAAGAGAGCUGAAUGCACCCCACUUUUACCUCUUCUGGCCCUGGGAGAUUGCUGGCCAUGAUGAACAAUCUCCAGGAAGCUGUUCAUCUCCAAGUGCUGCUCUUACUCCUCCUCAUGAGUGAGCAGGAAGCUUGCUAGCUCAGAUUUUAAUUAUCAAGGGAUUUAAUUAACUUUUUUUGGCUCUUUGAUUUAAUAUUCCGGUAUCUGUGUACAUCCAGUUUGUAAAACAAUAGGGGGGAAAAGUCUGCUUAGUCAAAAACCAAGCAGCAAAGAAGAUCUUUUUCCUCAUGUCCUUCGUUUCUGAAAAGAAAUAUGAAAAGCAUGUGGAAACUGAUAGUUCAAUGCCAACCACUGCUGAAUUGACCCAUUUAAUCUUUGUAGAAUUUGGAAACAGUGAUCUAUGAAAGCUUUCCCAAAUGCUUUUUGUGAGGAAAUAAUUUUCUAUUUAAUUUAGGCUCUUUUUUUUUUUUUUUUUUUGCUACACUUCAGUGAGAGGGGAAGUAAACA